UGCCUCAGUAACGGCGAGUGAAGCGGCAACAGCUCAAAUUUGAAAUCUGGCUCUUUCAGGGUCCGAGUUGUAAUUUGUAGAGGAUGCUUCGGGCGUGGCGCGGGUCUAAGUUCCUUGGAACAGGACGUCAUAGAGGGUGAGAAUCCCGUAUGCGACCCAUCGCCUCCGUCCAUGUGAAGCUCCUUCGACGAGUCGAGUUGUUUGGGAAUGCAGCUCAAAAUGGGUGGUAAAUUUCAUCUAAAGCUAAAUAUUGGCCAGAGACCGAUAGCGCACAAGUAGAGUGAUCGAAAGAUGAAAAGCACUUUGGAAAGAGAGUUAAAAAGUACGUGAAAUUGUUGAAAGGGAAGCGCUUGCAACCAGACUUGCUCGCGGUUGCUCAGCCGGUGUUCUCACCGGUGCACUCUUCCGCGAUCAGGCCAGCAUCGGUUUGGGCGGCUGGAUAAAGGCUUCGGGAAUGUAGCUCCUCUCGGGGAGUGUUAUAGCCCGAGGUGCAAUGCAGCCUGCCCGGACCGAGGACCGCGCUUCGGCUAGGAUGCUGGCGUAAUGGUUGUAAGCGACCCGUCUUGAAACACGGACCAAGGAGUCUAACAUCUAUGCGAGUGUUUGGGUGUCAAACCCAUGCGCGUAAUGAAAGUGAACGGAGGUGGGAACCCUUAAGGGUGCACCAUCGACCGAUCCUGAUGUCUUCGGAUGGAUUUGAGUAAGAGCAUAGCUGUUGGGACCCGAAAGAUGGUGAACUAUGCCUGAAUAGGGUGAAGCCAGAGGAAACUCUGGUGGAGGCUCGCAGCGGUUCUGACGUGCAAAUCGAUCGUCAAAUUUGGGUAUAGGGGCGAAAGACUAAUCGAACCAUUAACCAAAGCAUUUUGAAGCUGCUUGGUGGUUAAGAGGCGGCUCAAAGUGCCCGUCUAGUCCCUCAUCCGGGGCGACACUGUCAAAUUGCGGGGACACCCUUAGAGCUUGAACUACCGCGGCCCGUCGAAAGAUAGGGUGCAGCACCAGGUUAAUGGCCUCGGGUAUGGUAAAAACGUUCGAGAUUGGGCAAUCCGCAGCCAAGUCCUAAGGUCCCGGAGCUGAAGCUCUCGGGAUACGGAUGCAGUUCACAGACUAAAUGGCAGUGGGUGUGACCGUGCGGUCACGCUUAAGAUAUAGUCGGACCCUCCCGGAGACGGGAGCGGCGAGAGGAAGCCUCCAGGUAGGAUGCUGAGGGGUCGACACCCUUCAGUUCCUGGUGGCCCGAGCCUCGCCGGGGAGCGCCC
rnacentral:rRNA from 1 species